UCUCUUAGUUUAAUUUCCGCCAGGUAAUCAGAUGACACGACUGUGCUUCACGCCAUCUAUUAACAUGUACGUCAGUAUAUGGGGAUGUUUCCCCCACAUUCAACGCCGAGAAUAGAGGAAAAAUUAAAGGGGAGAUAAAAUCCCCCCUUUUUGGUU
rnacentral:misc_RNA from 6 species